CAGAGGGUGCGAGCGUUGUCCGGAAUCACUGGGCGUAAAGGGCGCGUAGGUGGCGGGCCAAGUCCAUGGUGAAAGCUCGAUGCUCAACAUCGAGUCGGCCACGGAUACUGGUUCGCUGGAGCACUGUAGAGGCAGAUGGAAUUCCGGGUGUAGCGGUGGAAUGCGUAGAGAUCCGGAAGAACACCGGUGGCGAAGGCGGUCUGCUGGGCAGUUGCUGACACUGAGGCGCGACAGCGUGGGGAGCAAACAGGAUUAGAUACCCUGGUAGUCCACGCCGUAAACGAUGGGCACUAGAUGCUUGGGGGAGCGACCCCCUGAGUGUCGUCGCUAACGCAGUAAGUGCCCCGCCUGGGGAGUACGGCCGCAAGGCUG
rnacentral:rRNA from 1 species